rnacentral:rRNA from 1 species
GACGAACGCUGGCGGCGUGCUUAACACAUGCAAGUCGAACGGAAAGGCCCCCACCUUGGUGGGGGUGCUCGAGUGGCGAACGGGUGAGUAACACGUGGGUGAUCUGCCCUGUACUUCGGGAUAAGCUUGGGAAACUGGGUCUAAUACCGGAUAGGACCAUGGUUUAGUGUCUCAUGGUGGAAAGAUUAUUGUUUUGGUGCAGGAUGAGCUCGCGGCCUAUCAGCUUGUUGGUGGGGUAAUGGCCUACCAAGGCGUCGACGGGUAGCCGGCCUGAGAGGGUGGACGGCCACAUUGGGACUGAGAUACGGCCCAGACUCCUACGGGAGGCAGCAGUGGGGAAUAUUGCACAAUGGGCGCAAGCCUGAUGCAGCGACGCCGCGUGGGGGAUGACGGCCUUCGGGUUGUAAACUCCUUUCGUUAGGGACGAAGCCACAUUUUUUGGGUGUGGUGACGGUACCUUUGUUAAGAAGCACCGGCUAACUACGUGCCAGCAGCCGCGGUAAUACGUAGGGUGCGAGCGUUGUCCGGAAUUACUGGGCGUAAAGAGCUCGUAGGUGGUUUGUUGCGUCGUCUGUGAAAUUCCGGGGCUUAACUUCGGGGUGGCAGGCGAUACGGGCAUAACUAGAGUGCUGUAGGGGAGACUGGAAUUCCUGGUGUAGCGGUGGAAUGCGCAGAUAUCAGGAGGAACACCGAUGGCGAAGGCAGGUCUCUGGGCAGUAACUGACGCUGAGGAGCGAAAGCAUGGGGAGCGAACAGGAUUAGAUACCCUGGUAGUCCAUGCUGUAAACGGUGGGCGUUAGGUGUGGGGACCGGUUUGGUUUCUGUGCUGUAGCUAACGCAUUAAGCGCCCCGCCUGGGGAGUACGGCCGCAAGGCUAAAACUCAAAGGAAUUGACGGGGGCCCGCACAAGCGGCGGAGCAUGUGGAUUAAUUCGAUGCAACGCGAAGAACCUUACCUGGGUUUGACAUGCACCAGACGGUUGUAGAGAUACGUACCUCCCUUUGUGGUUGGUGUGCAGGUGGUGCAUGGUUGUCGUCAGCUCGUGUCGUGAGAUGUUGGGUUAAGUCCCGCAACGAGCGCAACCCUUGUCUUAUGUUGCCAGCACUUUGGGUGGGGACUCAUGAGAGACUGCCGGGGUUAACUCGGAGGAAGGUGGGGAUGACGUCAAAUCAUCAUGCCCUUUAUGCCCAGGGCUUCACACAUGCUACAAUGGUUAGUACAACGCGCUGCGAACCUGUGAGGGUGAGCGAAUCGCUGAAAGCUAAUCUCAGUUCGGAUUGGGGUCUGCAACUCGACCCCAUGAAGUCGGAGUCGCUAGUAAUCGCAGAUCAGCAAUGCUGCGGUGAAUACGUUCCCGGGCCU